CCGCUCACCUAUCAGGGGCCUGGGAGCCGAUGCUUCCGGUACUCGCUUACGGCUUCAGAUCCGCGGUGCGUGAGCCCCGGCGGACUCCGGGAGACAGAUUUUCUGUGGGGCUGUGAGGCCAAAGAUAACCUUUAUCAGAAAGGAUGGAGUUGGGAAAAGGAAGACUUCUCAGGACUGGACUGAAUGCAUUGUAUCAAGCAAUACACCCAAUUCACGGCCUUGCCUGGACUGAUGGAAAUCAGGUAGUCCUGACUGACUUACAGGUUCAGAGUGGAGAGGCCACAUUUGGAGACUCAAAGGUCAUUGGACAAUUUGAACAUGUGUAUGGGGUGUCCUGGGCCCCACCUGGUACAGCUGAUACACCUGCUCUGCUCGCUGUCCAGCACAAGAUGCAUGUCAUUGUGUGGCAACUGUGUCCUAGCACCUCGGAUACAGGCAAAUGGCUGAUGUCUCAGAACUGUGAGAUAAGACAGUCAUUCCCUGUCCUUCCCCAGGGCUGUGUGUGGCACCCAAAAAUUGCUGUCCUGACUGUGUUGACUGCACAGGAUGUCUCCAUUUUCCAUAAUGUCCACUGCAACAAUUCCCAGGUAAAAGUGGACCUCAACACCCAAGGCCUCAUUCACUGUGCGUGUUGGACCCAGAAUGGUCAGAUGCUGGUGGUGGCAGUAGGCAGCAGCCUGCAUUCUUAUAUUUGGGACAGUGCUCAGAAGGCUCUUCACAGGUGCUCCUUCUGCCCAGUGUUUGAUGUGGACAGCCACGUGUGCUCCAUCGGAGCCACUGUGAACUCAGAGGUUGCUAUAGCCACUGAGCUUCCACUAGGUAAGAUUUGUGGCUUAAAUGCAUCUGGCACCUUUGACGUUGCCCCUAGUGGUGAAGACACUUGUUCAUAUACUUUACCAGUUACUGAUGAAGUUUCCUCUGUGGAUAACGACGCAGUCGCUUCUGAAACAAGUUCUGAAACACCGGUUUCUCCCUUUUCUUCAUCCUUUUCUGAUCUUCUGGAUCUAACUCAUAUACACUUCAGCAGAUCUAAAUCUGAGGGUAGUUCUCUUAUUUGUCUAAGAAAAAAGGACUACUUGACGGGAACUGGCCUGGAUUCUUCACAUUUGGUCCUCUUGAACUUUGAGAAAGAGGUUACGCAGAAUAGGAAAGUCACCAUUCCGGGCAUUCUGGUUCCUGAUCUAAUAGCAUUUAGUCUUAAAGCACAGGUAGUCGCAGUGGCUUCCAAUACGUAUAAUACAAUUUUUAUCUAUUCUGUCAUUCCAUCAUUUAUGCCAAACAUCCGGCAGAUUCAGUUAGAGAGUAAUGAAAGACCAAAAGGCAUAUGUUUCUUGACAGAUAAAUUAUUAUUAAUUUUGGUAGGAGAACAAAGACCCACUGAUUCAGCAUUUCUUCCUUCUUCAAAGUCUGAUCAGUAUAUGCUUCGUUUGAUUGUUAGAGAAGUGAUGUUGGAAGAAGAAUCUCCAGUGACGUUGAGUGAAAACCAGAGUGGUUACUCUGCUCUCAGUACUGUGUUAAACCAAGCAAAUAAAAAGCUAAUUGAAAGUCUUUCCCCAGAUUUUUAUCACCAAAAUGGAGGGCUCUUGUUAACAGCUAAUAGCAGCAAUCCGAGUAGGAAUCCUGGAAGAACCCUUAUUAAAGAAAUCAAAAGUCCUCCAUCCAGUAUCUGUGAUGGCUCCACAGCCCUAGAAACUCCAGGUGCCGGACCUGUUAACCAGCCAGUAACACUGCCCAGACCCAGCGGCACUCCAGACCACACCAAGACCCCAGAACCUCCUAACGUACAAAGGGAAAAGGAAAUUUAUCAGCUGUCUAAGGAACUGAAAGUUUUAUCCAGGAACCUAAAUGAAGUGCAGCAAUGUCUUUCUAAGCUCACAGACUCUCUACAGAAUGGAAAGAAAUCCUCUCCUUCGUAUCCACUCUCUCCGGAUCUACCUUAUGUUCACAUCACUUGCCAGGAAUGGGGUCAUAAGGUGCGUUCUUUACUUCAUGCUGAGAGUGUGCUGUUUAUUCAGCCGUUCCCUUGUUGAUGGACAUUCACUUUGUUUUCAGUUCUAAGCCACUCUGAAUAGUGCUGCAAUAGUAUUCUUGUAUGUAUCUAUUUAUACUCUUACUUUUAUUUUGGUUGGCUUGGUUCCCAGAAAGUGGAAGUACAAAUUUGAAGACUAUGUGUGUGUGUAUAUAUAUAUAUAUUGAGAGAGAGAGAGAGAGAGAGAGAGAUGUUUCUGCUUUUAAUAGAGUUGCCAGAUUGCCUUUCACAGAUUUUUUACUGAACAAUGCAUCAUCACAUGCCCAUCAGCAUCCUAUGGGACUGUCCUGUCCCUCACAUCCUCACCAAUCUGAUGAGUGUGAAGUGGCAUUUCACUUCUGUUAAUUUGUAUUUCCUUUGUUGUUAGUGAAUUUGAGUAUGUAUUCAUUUUUUUGGCCAAUUGAAUGUGAAUUACCUGUUGUUCAUUUUUUCCUGUUGAGUUAGCAGUUUACAAGAGGUUUUUGUAUAUUGUAGAAACUGAUAUAUAUGUAAUAGUCUAGAUUUUCUUGCGUUAUUUUAUUAUAUUAGUUUUUACAUUUAAGUUUCUAAACUUUAAUUAAAAUUUUCCAAGAAAUAGAUAACCAGUUGUGCUACCAACAUCCAUCUUUAUCUCACUGAACUUGAUCUACCACAUUUGUCGUUGUAAACUUGUAUAUCCUGGGAUCUAACUGUGGAUUCUUCUUGCUGCAGCUACUGUAAUGCUGAUCUCUUUACCUAGAACUUUAAUAAUACCACACUGAUUUGAUUAUGGCAGACUUACAUAUCUUCGUUUUAAAAGAUAUUUGCAGAAUGUUGGUGUGGAAAUCAAUAAUAAAUAAUAUGUAAAUUGCUAUUUAAAUAACAGUCAAAAAGAGAUACUUUAGUUUUUUCAUAAACUACUGUUUGACUCAAGGAUGUAGAUUUUUAAAAGAACCAAAGAAUAUUUAAAACUGAACUAAUUAUUUUUAUUAUAAAAAUGUCAAACAUGUAGUAAAAUGUAUUUUUUAUUAUGAAAAGUUGUAAACAUAUAGGAAGGCUACAAAAUGAAACCCUAUCUAUAUGUAUCACCUGGAUUUAACAAUUGUUAAUAUUUUGCCAUAAUUGUUUCCUUUUUGUUGUUUUUGUUUUCUAAAAUAUUUUUUUAAGUAGAGACAUCAUGGUAUUUCACCCAGAAGUAUAUUGGGAUGCUAUUCUAAAGUGUAAGCACAUGUUCUUUAAUUAUCACAGUACUAUUAUCAUACUUGAUAACAUUAAUAAUAAUUACUUAAUAUCAUCUAAUACCUAGUCCUUAUUCAAAUUCCUAAAUUGUCCCCAAAAACCAGUUAAAUCACAAAUAAGUCAGUUAAAAAUCAGUUAAAUCACUGAUUAAAAAAAUUUUUUUAAGUUAAUUCCACAACCAUGUUAGGGAUCUUAGUUGUAUCAUGUAUCAAAGCUAAUUGAAAUAGAUAUUUAAAACAUUUAACAUCUCAAUUCUAGAUUUUUGAAGAGCAUUUUUCCCACAUUGUCUUCAGCCAGAAUAGACAUUUAAAUGGUUUUAUGUAACUCCAUGAAGUUUUCUGUAUAUUUUCAGUAAAUAAAAUUUUUGUUUUAAAAAAUUAUAGUACUUAUAAAUGUGAAAUCUAGUUUGGAUUUUUUUCCCUCCAUGAUUUUUCAAAUUUUUUUUUCUUUUUUCCCUUGUUCUUUCUCUUUUUGAAUAGGUAAUUCAUUUCUUGGUUUAGAAAAACAAAACAUUAUUUUAAUAGAAAGCUAUAUACUGAGAAGUCUUACUCUCACCCCAUCUCUGUUCAUCCUGUUCCCCUCACCUCCCAUAAGUAACCAUUUUCAUUUUUAUUUCUCUAUGCAGAGAUUAGCAGGUCUUGUUAUAUAUUUUUGUUUUUCCUUUUGUUACACAAAAGGUAAGGUACUAUAUACAGUAUUCUGCAUCAUGUUCCAUUGGGUAAUAUAAUCUCAAGAACUCUGUAUCAGCACACAGAGCUCUUUUUUAUUUUUUUUACAGCUGCAUAGUAUUGUUUUCCCCUCAUUACAAAAGUAAUAUAUGCUCAUUGAAGAAAAAUUUAACCAAUAAAAGAAUAUUUAAUGUUCAAAGUGAAAAUUCUUCAUAACCCAACCCUUAGAGAAAACCACAGAUGUAGUUAGUAAACAAAAUAUUUAUCCCAUUUUUUUCUAUGCAUUUACGAAAACUUUUGUUAAUCUAAAAUAUAAUACCUAAUUGUUUGAUUUUAUUUUUAUUUACAUACAUUAUUUCAUCAAACAAUAUGUUUUAAACAUUUGUAAAUGUGAAAUUCUGCAUUUUUUUAAAGUAAGAAGACAUGUGGGGUUUUUUUACCUUUCAAUUCCUCAGCUUCUCAGUUUAUAAUGAACUAAUCCAACCAAACUAUUAUCAAUAAGUACCUCUGGAGGGUAGAAUUUUGGGGACUUUACUACCUGCAUUAUAAAUUUCUGUUUUACCUUUUAAUGUUGAACACAUAUUCCAAGAAAAGAAAGCAAAAUAAUCAAAAGCAAUGAAGUUUCCCCUAUACUUUCAGAAGCCCCAUUUUAUAAGAGUUAAAUGAUUAGUUGCUUAUGGCCAAUACAGUUUAUUCAUGUGACAUCUUUUAGAAUGUUACUACAUAGUAGACUUACCUUUUGAGUUUUUCAUUCUACCACAAAUAGAGUACAGUUUACCUUUUAUUGUUGAAAUUAUUUUUUAUUAUUUAAUAAUUUCUUAGCAGUCAGAAAAUGAGUAGUGAUAAUUUUAACAAGAAAGUGAGUUAGACAUACAACGUGUAAAACUUUAGAAAAUGCUUACAUGAAGAUAUUGCUUCAACUAAUAUAGAAUUAGAAGGUUUUCUUACUCUUGUGUUCUGUGGAUAUACUUUUGGACUCCAUGUAUCUUAAAUUAGAGCAAUAGAUGUUUUAUAUUUUCUUUCUCUAGGGAUAUUUGAAACCAUUUUAAAAGAUGAGUUAAUUUUUAAUAUGACUUUUUAGAAUUUAAACAUCACUUUCACUUAUACUUUUUUCUAAACUAAGUGGGUUUACCACAGUUUGUUUAUUUUAUUUAUGCAAAUUCUCUGCUCCUCUACUACGUAGGGCAGUCUUUCUUGGAACUUUUUCCCUAAUAAAGAAAACACAAAGUUUCUUAGUUAUACAGGCAUACUUCAUUUUAUUGUGCUUUGCAGAUAAUGUGUUUUUUACAAAUUGAAGGAUUUUGGCAACUCUGGAUUAUCAGAUGAUAAGUAGCAUUUUUAAGCAAGAAAGCAUUUUUAAAUUAAUGUAUGUACAUUGUUUUAUGAGACAUAAUGCAAUUGCACACUUAAAUGGACUACAGCAUAGCACAGACAUAACUUCUAUUUGCACUGGGAAACCAAAAAUGCGUGUGGCUCACUUUAUUGCGAUAUUUGCUUUAUUCUGGUGAUCUGGAACUGCACGCACAGUAUCUCUAAGGUAUGCCUGUACCUAAAACAGCCAAGCAGUUGUUCCUCACCAUGAGAUUGUGUCUCUCAGGCUGCCAUCCAUCAUCCUAUAGUGUUAUUAGUCAUAUCCUAGGAAAGCCAGUAAGUAGCAAUAAAGACAGACCCUGGAGAAAGAGCAGAGCAAAAGGAAAAGGAAAUUAGGGUUAGGGGUUGUGUUUUAUCAGAUUCUUUAGUUAUGUUAAAUAAUGCAGCAAAAAGCUCCUUAUUUAAACUGAAGUCUAGCUGAUAGUGCUAAUAGAGAAGGAUUUUUAAAACUAUGCAUUCUGUUCUUAGGAAUAGAAUAGGAAUUCUUAGGAAUGUUAAUGACAUUGAUUCUGCAAUCAGUUUAAUGACUUUUAUUUUUAUUUUUGAAGAAGUCUUGUUUUGUAGGUCCUGUUGUUGGAAAAAGAGAUAUCCUUCUCUGCAAUGGUAAAUUAAGACUCAGUACACUUCAGGAGACUUUUGGCCUAUCACUUAUUGAAAUGCUGCAUGGCUCCCACUGGAUCCUUCUCUGUGCUGAUAG